ACUUGGUUCAUUUAAUUUGGAUGCAUAAACUUUUAAAAAUUAAAUAUUAGAUGAUUAUGUGAAAAAGGAAAUGUAAUGUGGAUUUUAAGAAGGUAUAACUAUAUGUUCCAUUGACAAACAAAAAUCUCAAUGAAACAUAAUACAAAAAUGUCAAAAACAAUUCGUCGAAAUUUCUUCGGGCUGUUUGAUGAAUUUUCAACAGAAAUUAUUUUGACGAAGUUCUGAUGUAUAUUUUUGUCGGAAAUUGUGUAUUUAAAAUAUAAUAUUUAGAUUAAUUUAUUUCUCAAAAAAACUAAUUUACAAUUGUCUAUGA
rnacentral:lncRNA from 1 species